rnacentral:rRNA from 1 species
UACGGAGGAUCCAAGCGUUAUCCGGAUUUAUUGGGUUUAAAGGGUGCGUAGGCGGCCUGUUAAGUCAGGGGUGAAAGACGGUAGCUCAACUAUCGCAGUGCCCUUGAUACUGAUGGGCUUGAAUGGACUAGAGGUAGGCGGAAUGUGACAAGUAGCGGUGAAAUGCAUAGAUAUGUCACAGAACACCGAUUGCGAAGGCAGCUUACUAUGGUCCUAUUGACGCUGAGGCACGAAAGCGUGGGGAUCGAAC